GAUCAUGGCUCAGGAUGAACGCUGGCGGCGUGCCUAAUACAUGCAAGUCGAACGCAUUACUCGGUAGUGAGUGGCGAACGGGUGAGUAACACGUAGGUAACUUACCUCUAAGACGAGGAUAACGACUGGAAACGGUCGCUAAAACUGGAUAGGAUCAUUUGAGGCAUCUCGAAUGAUUUAAAGGGGCUUUCAAGCCACACUUAGAGAAAGGCCUGCGGCGCAUUAGCUAGUUGGUGGGGUAGAGGCCUACCAAGGCGAUGAUGCGUAGCCGGACUGAGAGGUCGAACGGCCACAUUGGGACUGAGACACGGCUCAAACUCCUACGGGAGGCAGCAGUAGGGAAUUUUCGGCAAUGGGGGAAACCCUGAACCCGAGCAACGCCGCGUGAAUGAAGACGUAUUUCGGUAUGUAAAGCCCUGUUGUAUGGGAAGAGCGGAAGACGGUACCAUACGAGGAAGCCCCGGCAAACUACGUGCCAGCAGCGGC
rnacentral:rRNA from 1 species